rnacentral:lncRNA from 1 species
AGAGAGGCCGGCCAAACCUCUCUCUUUUUCUCUCCCUUUUCUCCUUCGGAUCUUGGUUUUGAUGACGGAACCGUUUCGAUUUGCCACCGGUACGGCUGAGACGUCCUGAACCAGACGGUUUGGGACGAUUCUACCGAUCACGAUACUAAAUGAAGUCAAGCUCCUGUAGGCGGAGUCCGACCCCUAGGCAUGAGCAUUAGCAUUAGCAUUUGCAGGCAGAAAGAAAAUUAUUGUCGAAUUGUUUUGCCCUUCGCCUUCAUCCAUCUCUACAUCCAUCUUGCUCGGUUAGUGUGUGGCAUCCUUCCACAGAGGCCAUUCCAAUUAGACUCAAACAAUGAGCUAAAAGCCUUGUUGGUCCCCAGCAAAGACAGCAAACGAAGGCAGAGAAAGAUGCUCAAAAAGCCUGACGACUACUUUGGUGGGAGCAAUUCGAUGAUGGGAAAGGAAUAUGGCCUUCACAACCCUUCAUAAAGUCUUUUGUACACGCGUGUUAUCAUCAUCCGGUUCGUAGUAUGGGGGACAAACUUG